rnacentral:rRNA from 1 species
AGUGAACGCUGGCGGUAGGCCUAACACAUGCAAGUCGAACGGCAGCACAGUAAGAGCUUGCUCUUACGGGUGGCGAGUGGCGGACGGGUGAGGAAUACAUCGGAAUCUACUUUUUCGUGGGGGAUAACGUAGGGAAACUUACGCUAAUACCGCAUACGACCUACGGGUGAAAGCAGGGGAUCUUCGGACCUUGCGCGAUUGAAUGAGCCGAUGUCGGAUUAGCUAGUUGGCGGGGUAAAGGCCCACCAAGGCGACGAUCCGUAGCUGGUCUGAGAGGAUGAGCAGCCACACUGGAACUGAGACACGGUCCAGACUCCUACGGGAGGCAGCAGUGGGGAAUAUUGGACACUGGGCGCAAGCCUGAUCCAGCCAUACCGCGUGGGUGAAGAAGGCCUUCGGGUUGUAAAGCCCUUUUGUUGGGAAAGAAAAGCAGCAGGUUAAUACCCCGCUGUUCUGACGGUACCCAAAGAAUAAGCACCGGCUAACUUCGUG